rnacentral:rRNA from 1 species
AUAUUAUUAAGCGGAGGAAAAGAAACUAACAAGGAUUCCUCUAGUAACGGCGAGUGAAAGGGGAAAAGCCCAAUUUUAAAUCGUGUACCGUCAGGCACGCGAGUUGUAAUCUUACGACGUGUAGUCAGUGUUUGGCCCGGGAAUAACUCCCUUGAAAAGGGGGAUCAUAGAGCGUUACAAUCGCGUUCAUGGCCUGGUGCCCAUCACGUACGACUUACGUUCAAAGAGUAGGGUUGCUUGGGAUCGCAGCCCGAAGUGGGAGGUAAGCUUCUUCUAAGGCUAAAUAUUGGCGGGAGACCGAUAGCGCACAAGUA